AGGUUAAGUUAACAAGGGCGCAUGGUGAAUGCCUUGGCACUAGGAGCCGAUGAAGGACGGGACUAACACCGAUAUGCUUCGGGGAGCUGUACGUAAGUUAUGAUCCGGAGAUUUCCGAAUGGGGCAACCCAGCAGUUUUAAUCAACUGUUACCACUAGAUGAAUUCAUAGUCUAGUUGGAGGUAAACGCUGUGAACUGAAACAUCUCAUUAGCAGCAGGAAUAUAAAGAAAUUUCGAUUCCCUAAGUAGCGGCGAGCGAACGGGGAACAGCCCAAACCAAAGUGCUUGCACUUUGGGG
rnacentral:rRNA from 1 species